AUACGGUGAAUACGUUCCCGGACCUUGUACACACCGCCCGUCAAGCCAUGGAAGCCGGGUGUACCUAAAGUCGGUAACCGUAAGGAGCCGCCUAGGGUAAAACUGGUGACUGGGGCU
rnacentral:rRNA from 1 species